rnacentral:tRNA from 1 species
GAGGGUAUAGCUCAGUGGUAGAGGGUGUGCUUAGCAUGCACGAAGUCCUGGGUUCAAUCCCCAGUACUUCCA